GAUCUACAAAGGGAGUCUUGCAGACACAUGGCUCAAUGAUUAGCUUGUGCCCUGCCUUGGCAAGAGAUGCUACGCAGAAUCAACAGUGAAGCAGGUAAUGAAGGUAUUAAAGAAUGUAACAUCCAUGAAAUGUAUCAUUCAACCUAAUAAUAUUCAUUGUGGAUGAGAGAACUAAACCAGAACAAAAUUAGUAUUUUUUUAAAUUGAGAUCUCUUAAAAAUUUGGGAAACAGUCAUCAAGAUAGCUUUGUAAUCAAUAUUACCUAUGAAUUGUGCUUUUUGUCGAGUUCUGACAUCUCUAAUUUUCUUUACUUAAAUCAGCAAAGAGUAAAUGUAACAAUAAGUCAUCAUUAAAAUAAGCGACUGUAAUUAACACAGUAACUGAUAAAACUAAAAAGUGCUUAGUACAAAUGAUGCCUAUAUAAUCAAUCAGAACCUAAGACCGAGAUGAGUUUAUCCGAUAUUAGAUGCGCCUCAGGGGAAGGCCGCUUGGGAAGCGGUCAUUUGUCGUACUAAGUUAAGUACUUUUUUCUCCACCCAUCACUUGUUUGGUUUUUGGGUGGAGCACUU